rnacentral:rRNA from 1 species
UGAGUACGAGAUGCUACGGCAUCGAAGCAGUCUAUGUCAUACUUCCAAGAAAAGCUUGCACUGUCAUAAACAAAGAAUGCCUGUACCAUAACCGACACAGGUGGGUAGGUAGAGUAUACUAAGGGGCGCGAGAUAACUCUCUCUAAGGAACUCGGCAAAAUGACUCCGUAACUUCGGGAGAAGGAGUGCCUUAUUUCUAAGGUUGCAAUAACAAGAUCCAAGCAACUGUUUACCAAAAACACAGGUCUCCGCUAAGUCGUAAGACGAUGUAUGGGGGCUGACGCCUGCCCAGUGCCAGAAGGUUAAAGAAGUUGGUUAGCAUUAGCGAAGCUGAUAACUGAAGCCCUGGUGAACGGCGGCCGUAACAAUAACGGUCCUAAGGUAGCGAAAUUCCUUGUCGGGUAAGUUCCGACCCGCACGAAAGGCGUAAUGAUUUGGAUACUGUCUCGGAGAGGGGCUCGGUGAAAUAGACUUGUCUGUGAAGAUGCGGACUACCUGCACCUGGACAGAAAGACCCUAUGAAGCUUUACUGUAACUUGAGAUUGAAAUUGGACUUUAUUUGCGCAGUAUAGGUGCAGGCGUUGAGAAUAAUCUUGCGGGAUUGUUGGAGCCAUCAGUGAGAUACCACUCUUGUAAUGUUAGAUUUCUAACUUUGUAUCAUUAUCUGGUCAAAGAACAGUUUCAGGCGGGCAGUUUGACUGGGGCGGUCGCCUCCCAAAGGGUAACGGAGGCGCACAAAGGUUUCCUCUGAACGGGUAGAAAUCGUAUCUAGAGUGUAAAGGCAUAAGGAAGCUUGACUGUGAGACCUACAAGUCGAGCAGGGACGAAAGUCGGUCUUAGUGAUCUGACGGUGCUGAGUGGAAAGGCCGUCACUCAACGGAUAAAAGUUACUCUAAGGAUAACAGGCUGAUCUCCCCCAAGAGUUCACAUCGACGGGGAGGUUUGGCACCUCGAUGUCGGCUCAUCGCAUCCUGGGGCGGUAGUCCGUCCCAAGGGUUGGGCUGUUCGCCCAUGAAAGCGGUACGCGAGCUGGGUUCAGAACGUCGUGAGACAGUUCGGUCCAUAUCCGGUGUAGGCGUUAGAAUAUUGAGAGGAGCCUUCUCUAGUACGAGAGGACCGAGAAGGACAUACCUCUGGUGUACCAGUUAUCGUGCCAACGGUAAACGCUGGGUAGCUAUGUAUGGAGUGGAUAACCGCUGAAAGCAUCUAAGUGGGAAGCCCACCUCAAGAUAAG